rnacentral:rRNA from 1 species
UAAUACGUAGGGGGCAAGCGUUGUCCGGAAUCAUUGGGCGUAAAGCGCGUGUAGGCGGCCCACUAAGUCCGCUCUGAAAGCCCGGGGCUCAACCCCGGGAGGCGGGUGGAUACUGGUGGGCUCGAGUCCGGAAGAGGUCAGUGGAAUUCCCGGUGUAGCGGUGAAAUGCGCAGAUAUCGGGAGGAACACCAAUGGCGAAGGCAGCUGACUGGGACGUGACUGACGCUGAGACGCGAAAGCGUGGGGAGCAAACAGGAUUAGAUACCCUGGUAGUCCACGCCGUAAACGAUGGGCACUAGGUGUGGGAGGUGUCGACUCCUCCCGUGCCGAAGCUAACGCAUUAAGUGCCCCGCCUGGGGAGUACGGCCGCAAGGCUA